AUGCACCCGCAAUGCUUCUGUGCAAGGGAAGGAGCCAGGAAGUGGGGCGGUGAGGCUGGGGUCAGGGCCCAGGGCACCCCAGGAGCAUUUCCCCAGGCCUCUGGUUUGCUCUGCAGUUCACAGACCUUCUGUAGGGUUCAGCCUCACGGUCAGCCAGCGCUGGGGGCCUCAAGUGGACCCACGCGAAUCCAAGGUGGACAAGGGUGUUGCAACAAGCUGAAUGAAUAUCUACACCCAACAUGCGGCUCACGCUCAUGACCCAACAUCAAGAGUCCCAGGCUGCAUGACUGAACCCACCAGGCAGGUGCCCAGGGAACGUGUCCCUCUCUCAUUGUUUCAGGAACGCAGGUCAAGGGCUCAUUAUUCUAAACAAGUUUAGCU
rnacentral:lncRNA from 1 species